rnacentral:rRNA from 1 species
UACGUAGGGGGCUAGCGUUGUCCGGAAUCAUUGGGCGUAAAGAGCGUGUAGGCGGUCCGGUAAGUCCGUUGUGAAAGUCAGGGGCUCAACCCUUGAAUGCCGGCGGAUACUGUCGGGCUAGAGUCCGGAAGAGGCGAGCGGAAUUCCUGGUGUAGCGGUGAAAUGCGCAGAUAUCAGGAGGAACACCGAUGGCGAAGGCAGCUCGCUGGAACGGUACUGACGCUGAGGCGCGAAAGCGUGGGGAGCGAACAGG